rnacentral:tRNA from 2 species
GUUUUAAUAAUUUAAAUAAAAUAUUGGUCUUGUAAAUCAAAAAUAAGUAUUACUUUUAAAACU